rnacentral:lncRNA from 1 species
GCGGUCCCGGGGCGGUCCCGGUACCGGGGGGACCCCGCUCCGAAUCCCCCGUUGAUCCCCGGGAGCCCCGGCCAGGCCCAGCCCCCGCGCCGGCUCCCGGUGGCGGCGGCGGAGCGGGGGCAGCCCCGGCGGGGAGCGGGGGGGCGCGGGGCGGAGCGCGGAGCCCGCUCGGGGCUGCGGAUGCUCCGUCCGGCACCGCCGGUGGCAGCGGGGCGGGCGCCAGCCCGGCUCUGGGCGUCUGUAACGGGCAGCGCGACCGCGACGGAGCCGCCGGUACCGGCUCUUCAACGGCGGUACCGGCACCGGUACCGGCAGCGCUCCGGCCCUGCUAUCCCAGCACCGGCAUCAGUCCUUGGAUCCCGGCACCAGGACCGACCGGCCUCACUGACACCGGCACCGCCACUGACACCGGUACCGGCUCUUCUUCCCCGGCACAAGGUCCGGUGUCCCCGCCACCGGGACUACACCCCGUUAUCCUCCCCCGGCACUGGGACCACUCCGAUUCCCCGGCAUUGCUCGUCCUUCUCCUCCACCGGCACCGACCGGCCCUUCCCGGCUCCUCGGGCCCCCGCCUGCCGCAGCUUUGAAAACCCAUGAGUGGUGGGAACAGAGAGCUGGGCACGGUGGAGUGAGCACAAGGAGCACCCAGGCCAGCACAGGGAGACACUGUCCCCUGGCCUGGCAGGGACACGGAGCAGGGACCAGCCAGGACCCUUCAGGGACCAGCCCAGGGGCGUUCUGGUAGGAGCAGCCAGGGGUGGUGGGCAGCACUGGGCAUACUGGGGAUACUGGGGAUGCUGGGAUGGCUGUGAUGGGGCCAUGAGAACCCUGCAUGGUGAGGGGCAGGGGCUGCAGUGCUGGGUGGGAGGGGGACAGGGCCCUGCAGGGUCAGGGGAGGGAUCUCUUGGAACCACACCCGGAAUGCUUUGGGCUGGAAAGGACCUUAAAGGCAAGGGACCUUAAAGACCCCCCCUGCCAUGGGCAGGGGCACCUUCCCUAGAGCAGGGCCCCUCUCAGGCCCAGCCCCACUGCUCAUUGCCCUGCUCACCCCUCCUUUGGCUGUUUUGGUGCCUUGCCAACGGUGCCAGCAGUGCCACCAGCACCAGCCAGGCUCUGCCGGGGGCUGGGGCAAUCACCCGUGGAUGAUCCGAGGUUAACAAGUGGCUCCUGCAAAGGAGAAGCAAAGCAAGAGCUGAGAUUAUAUAAAGGGGGCUGGAGGCAGCUGCGGCACAGGCUGUGAUUAAUUCCUGGCACCGAGGAGCUCUGAAGAUCCAGGGCGGUGCGCUGGGAGGAUGAGGCAGCCCAGGGUCCCUGGGAUGCAUUCCUGCUGCUGCUGCAGGGCUGCUGUGAGGGGAGGGGGACAGGGAGGGGCUGAGCACUCCAGGGACCCGCUGGGGGCUGACUCAGCACCGCGGUGCCCUGCAGAGCCCGUCCUGCAGAUCCCCUCUCCCUCCCAAAACCACGGCGGGGACACGGCUCAGGGCAGGCCAGCCCAUGGAGAGAGGGGAGAGAGGCAGCGAGGGGUGGUGGGGACAGGACAGCCCUUCCCUGAGGCCAUGGGCCCCCUCAGGACAAUGGAAACUUGGUGUUAGAAGAA